rnacentral:rRNA from 1 species
UGCAAGUCGAGCGGUAAGGCCCUUCGGGGUACACGAGCGGCGAACGGGUGAGUAACACGUGAGCAACCUGCCCCUGACUCUGGGAUAAGCGGUGGAAACGCCGUCUAAUACCGGAUACGACCUUCCGCCUCAUGGUGGAGGGUGGAAAGUUUUUUCGGUCAGGGAUGGGCUCGCGGCCUAUCAGCUUGUUGGUGGGGUAACGGCCUACCAAGGCGAUUACGGGUAGCCGGCCUGAGAGGGCGACCGGCCACACUGGGACUGAGACACGGCCCAGACUCCUGCGGGAGGCAGCAGUGGGGAAUAUUGCGCAAUGGGCGAAAGCCUGACGCAGCGACGCCGCGUGGGGGAUGACGGCCUUCGGGUUGUAAACCUCUUUUACCACCAACGCAGGCUCCGGGUUCUCUCGGGGUUGACGGUAGGUGGGGAAUAAGGACCGGCUAACUACGUGCCAGCAGCCGCGGUAAUACGUAGGGUCCGAGCGUUGUCCGGAAUUAUUGGGCGUAAAGAGCUCGUAGGCGGCGUGUCGCGUCUGCUGUGAAAGACCGGGGCUUAACUCCGGUUCUGCAGUGGAUACGGGCAUGCUAGAGGUAGGUAGGGGAGACUGGAAUUCCUGGUGUAGCGGUGAAAUGCGCAGAUAUCAGGAGGAACACCGGUGGCGAA